rnacentral:lncRNA from 1 species
AGGAGCACAGUGACCCCGCCUCCACAGGGUCCGCUCCGCCACACUGACCCUUCCGUGUCGCUCGCGGGACCCCACCCCUGUCCGCCUGCUCCGGUGCCCAUGGGGAAGCCUGGUGCCAGGGGUCACCAGUCAGUCCAAUUCACCGCCCGACUGGUGGGACAAGGACAGGUCAGCGGGUCACAGGCCGGAAGUGAGACUCGCCCGGCCGCUCUGGGACGCGGGAAGACCGAGGCCUCGGUGGUUCCCCUCUCUCCCGCCUGGCUCCCUCAGGAGAAGGAGCGGCUAAGGUAGGACCCGACACCGCGGUCGUACCCGCCUUCUUUUCUGUCCCAGAGUACAGCCUGGGAUCUCCAGGGGGGAGACUGAAUGAGUGCUGUCGAGGACCGGCGAGAGUCUGGAACGUUCGCGCCUUCGUAGGAGAACGAGGAGGUGACGGACAGGGAACGGGGAGCGGCCGUUGGGUGGGACGCCUGAGACCCUCGGGAAAUGGCCGGGUCGCCGACUGUUUGCACCACUGGCAUCCUGCAGCACUGUGAGAUACGGCCCCGUUUGUUCCCAGAAUGUAAAUCAUCCCGCACAGAAAAGGAUGCGAUUCACGGAGAAAGAGUUCUGUCUCCU